rnacentral:lncRNA from 1 species
CAUAUCCGCUGAAAAUUGGUGGUGAAAUACGCUUAAAGCUAGAGGAGGAGGAGGAGGAGAAAACGCUUUGAUGCAAUACCGUAAUUAUUUAAAUGGAACAAAAACGUAAUAGGAAUGAAGAAAUAUUGUUUACCUUAGCAAAAUAUGGUUCCAUGAAUCCGCAUGAUCUCCAAAAUUAGGGUUUCGAACCACUUCAGAGAUUGCAUAUUGUUUUUGUUUGAAGAAAUUCUGUCUAUAAGCGAGCAAAAGACAAAUACACAAAUAUAAUUGCCACUGCUCUCCAUAACUGUUAAGAAAAAGGAGAAAAACCAUGCGUUAAUCGAUUGAACUUUUAAGAGAGAGGUUACCAUGAAAGAGAGAGCCAGAUUGCAGGGGAGGAAGAUGAAGACAAUCGAUUGAUCAGAUUGAACUUUUAUAUCGUAGGGGAGAGGAAGUGCCGCUUGUGAGACUUAGUUUAGA